rnacentral:rRNA from 1 species
UAGGGAAUCUUCGGCAAUGGGGGCAACCCUGACCGAGCAACGCCGCGUGAGUGAAGAAGGUUUUCGGAUCGUAAAGCUCUGUUGUAAGAGAAGAACGUGUGUGAGAGUGGAAAGUUCACACAGUGACGGUAACUUACCAGAAAGGGACGGCUAACUACGUGCCAGCAGCAGCGGUAAUACGUAGGUCUCGAGCGUUGUCCGGAUUUAUUGGGCGUAAAGCGAGCGCAGGCGGUUAAUAAGUCUGAAGUUAAAGGCAGUGGCUUAACCAUUGUUCGCUUUGGAAACUGUUAAACUUGAGUGCAGAAGGGGAGAGUGGAAUUCCAUGUGUAGCGGUGAAAUGCGUAGAUAUAUGGAGGAACACCGGUGGCGAAAGCGGCUCUCUGGUCUGUAACUGACGCUGAGGCUCGAAAGCGUGGGGAGCAAACAGG